rnacentral:rRNA from 1 species
AUCUACAGCCAUACCACUCUGAACGUGCCCCAUCUUGUAUGAUCUCAGCAGCUAAGCAGUGUCGGGCCUGGUUAGUACUUGGAAGAGAGAAAGGAGGUCUCUGUCUGUC